rnacentral:rRNA from 1 species
AUUGAACGCUGGCGGAAUGCUUUACACAUGCAAGUCGAACGGCAGCACGGACUUCGGUCUGGUGGCGAGUGGCGAACGGGUGAGUAAUGUAUCGGAACGUGCCCAGUCGUGGGGGAUAACGUAGUGAAAAUUACGCUAAUACCGCAUACGAUCUAUGGAUGAAAGCGGGGGAUCGCAAGACCUCGCGCGAUUGGAGCGGCCGAUAUCAGAUUAGGUAGUUGGUGGGGUAAAGGCCCACCAAGCCAACGAUCUGUAGCUGGUCUGAGAGGACGAGCAGCCACACUGGAACUGAGACACGGUCCAGACUCCUACGGGAGGCAGCAGUGGGGAAUUUUGGACAAUGGGCGAAAGCCUGAUUCAGCCAUUCCGCGUGCAGGAUGAAGGCCCUCGGGUCGUAAACUGCUUUUGUACAGAACGAAAAGGUUUCUACUAAUACUAGGAGCUCAUGACGGUACUGUAAGAAUGAGCACCGGCUAACUACGUGCCAGCAGCCGCGGUAA